AAUGAACGCUGGCGGCAGGCCUAACACAUGCAAGUCGAACGGGUCCUUCGGGACUAGUGGCGGACGGGUGAGUAACGCGUGGGAACGUGCCCCUUGGUACGGAAUAGCCCCGGGAAACUGGGAGUAAUACCGUAUGUGGUCGAGAGACGAAAGAUUUAUCGCCAAAGGAUCGGCCCGCGUUGGAUUAGGUAGUUGGUGGGGUAAUGGCCUACCAAGCCGACGAUCCAUAGCUGGUUUGAGAGGAUGAUCAGCCACACUGGGACUGAGACACGGCCCAGACUCCUACGGGAGGCAGCAGUGGGGAAUCUUAGACAAUGGGCGCAAGCCUGAUCUAGCCAUGCCGCGUGAGCGAUGAAGGCCUUAGGGUUGUAAAGCUCUUUCAGUGGGGAAGAUAAUGACUGUACCCACAGAAGAAGCCCCGGCUAACUCCGUG
rnacentral:rRNA from 1 species